rnacentral:rRNA from 1 species
AACGCGAAGAACCUUACCUGGGCUCGAAAUGUAGUGGACUGGGGUAGAAAUAUCCCUUCCUAGCAAUAGGUCGCUAUAUAGGUGCUGCAUGGCUGUCGUCAGCUCGUGUCGUGAGAUGUUGGGUUAAGUCCCGCAACGAGCGCAACCCUUAUCUCCAGUUGCCAUCAUUCAGUUGGGCACUCUGGCGAAACCGCCUCGGAUAACGGGGAGGAAGGUGGGGAUGACGUCAAGUCCUCAUGGCCUUUAUGUCCAGGGCUACACACGUGCUACAAUGGCCGGUAUAAACCGCUGCAAACCCGCGAGGGGGAGCUAAUCGGAAAAAGCCGGCCUCAGUUCGGAUUGCAGUCUGCAACUCGACUGCAUGAAGCUGGAAUCGCUAGUAAUCGCAGAUCAGAAUGCUGCGGUGAAUACGUUCCCGGGCCUUGUA